rnacentral:pre_miRNA from 1 species
AUGUUAAAGUGUAUGCAUUAACAUCGGUUUUUAAAAAAACCGAUGUUAAUGCAUACACUUUAACAU